rnacentral:rRNA from 1 species
GUGGGGAAUAUUGGACAAUGGGCGCAAGCCUGAUCCAGCCAUGCCGCGUGAGUGAUGAAGGCCUUAGGGUUGUAAAGCUCUUUCAGUGGGGACGAUAAUGACGGUACCCACAGAAGAAGCCCCGGCUAACUUCGUGCCAGCAGCCGCGGUAAUACGAAGGGGGCUAGCGUUGUUCGGAUUUACUGGGCGUAAAGCGCACGUAGGCGGAUCGUUAAGUCGGGGGUGAAAUCCUGGAGCUCAACUCCAGAACUGCCUUCGAUACUGGCGAUCUUGAGUCCGGAAGAGGUGAGUGGAACUCCUAGUGUAGAGGUGGAAUUCGUAGAUAUUAGGAAGAACACCAGUGGCGAAGGCGACUCACUGGCCCGUUACUGACGCUGAGGCGCGAAAGCGUGGGGAGCAAACAGGAUUAGAAACCCUUGUAGUCC